AGAUAUUAUUAUAUGCAAAUUAUUCAAACAUAUUUCAUGUAUACGAAGAAAAAAAAAUAAGAAAGUAUUGUCGUGUUUCCGGGAAAAAUAUUAUCUCGCGUCCGAAAUAUUCCAAACCGCGGCGGUGUUUUAUUGUAUCAUUUCCCGCGCAGCUACCGUCGUCGCGCGCUGUGUUUUACAAUCUGCGGUUUGCUUAUUUUUUCUAGCACGCAGUACACAAAGUCGAAAUGAAAAGUGAAUUA